rnacentral:ncRNA from 1 species
GCACCAAGGCGCUGCGCUGGUCCUGCCGCAUGGCAGGCCAAGAGGGAAUCGCGCAAGGCCCCGAAAGGCAAGCCAAAGCGCAGCCGCCCCCGCGACCGUGACCGGAAAGGUCGCCCUUGUGCCACUGGAGCAAUCCGGGAAGGCGGGCGCCCGUUGGGGAAACCCAGAAUCCGCAAGCCGGGAGACCUGCCAGCGCAACGGAUGACGG